rnacentral:rRNA from 1 species
AUUGAACGCUGGCGGCAUGCCUUACACAUGCCAGUCGAACGGCAGCAUGAUCUAGCUUGCUAGAUUGAUGGUGAGUGGCGAACGGGUGAGUAAUACAUCGGAACGUGCCCUGUAGUGGGGGAUAACUAGUCGAAAGAUUAGCUAAUACCGCAUACGACCUGAGGGUGAAAGUGGGGGACCGCAAGGCCUCAUGCUAUAGGAGCGGCCGAUGUCUGAUUAGCUAGUUGGUGAGGUAAAGGCUCACCAAGGCGACGAUCAGUAGCUGGUCUGAGAGGACGAUCAGCCACACUGGGACUGAGACACGGCCCAGACUCCUACGGGAGGCAGCAGUGGGGAAUUUUGGACAAUGGGCGAAAGCCUGAUCCAGCAAUGCCGCGUGUGUGAAGAAGGCCUUCGGGUUGUAAAGCACUUUUGUCCGGAAAGAAAUGGCUCUGGUUAAUACCUGGGGUCGAUGACGGUACCGGAAGAAUAAGGACCGGCUAACUACGUG